UACGGAGGGUGCAAGCGUUAAUCGGAAUUACUGGGCGUAAAGCGCACGCAGGUGGCUGAGUCAGUCGAUUGUGAAAGCCCUGGGCUUAACCUGGGAAUUGCAGUCGAUACUACUCAGCUAGAGUAUGGGAGAGGGUAGUGGAAUUCCCGGUGUAGCGGUGGAAUGCGUAGAGAUCCGGAGGAACACCAGCGGCGAAGGCGGCGUCCUGGACUGGUACUGACGCUCAGGAGCGAAAGCGUGGGGAGCGAUCCGG
rnacentral:rRNA from 1 species